rnacentral:rRNA from 1 species
AACGUAGGAGGCGAGCGUUAUCCGGAUUUACUGGGCGUAAAGCGCGUGCAGGCGGUUUGGUAAGUCGUGCGUGAAAGCUCCCAGGCUCAACCGGGAGAGGUCGUGCGAGACUGCCAGACUAGAAGUAGAGAGAGGCCAGUAGAAUUCCGGGUGUAGUGGUGAAAUGCGUAGAGAUCCGGAGGAAUACCAGAGGCGAAGGCGGCUGGCUGGCUCUAACUUGACGCUCAGACGCGAAAGCAUGGGGAGCGAACGGG